UACGGAGGGUGCAAGCAUUGAUCGGAAUUACUGGGCGUAAAGGGCGCGUAGGCGGUUAAGAAAGUCAGAUGUGAAAUUCCGGGGCUCAACCCCGGAGCUGCAUUUGAAACUUCUUGACUAGAGUUCAGUUAGGGUAAACGGAAUUCCACGUGUAGCGGUGAAAUGCGUAGAUAUGUGGAAGAACACCGGUGGUGAAGACGGUUUACUGGGCUGAUACAGACGCUGAGGCGCGAAAGCAUGGGGAGCAAACAGG
rnacentral:rRNA from 1 species